rnacentral:rRNA from 1 species
GACGAACGAUGGCGGCGUGCUUAACACAUGCAAGUCGAGCGGAGCGGCGAACGGGUGAGUAACGCGUGAGUAACUGCCCCCCUCUCUGGGAUAAAAGAUGGAAACGGCUGCUAAUACCGGAUAGUGGGGGAUGACUCGCGUCCUAUCAGCUUGUUGGUGGGGUAGUGGACUACCAAGGCGACGACGGAUAGCCGGACUGAGAGGGCGACCCGCCACAUGGGGCUGAGAUACGGCCCAAAUUACUACGGGAGGCAGCGGUGGGGACUUCUGCACAAUGGAGGAAGCCCUGAGGCAGAAACGCCGCGUGCGGGAUGACGGCCGUCGGGUUGUAAACCGCUUUUAGCCAUGACGCGGAAGUAGCAGAAGAAGCACCGGCUAACUACGUGCCAGCAGCCGCGGUAAUUC